AGAUGAGGACCACAAUGUCCAUCGCUCUCCUACUUCUUCUCAGCUGUGUGACCCAGAUAUUUUCUGCUCCAUUGAAUGACAGCCCACCCAUAGGUUUAACCCAAGAGGGAUCUGGAUUAAAUCCUGAAGAAAUAUAUUGUCAGGAUGAAGGCUUAUCAUCUGGUAUGGGCGUAGAGUCAGC